UUGAUUUAAACUAACUUUUGGUUGAGGGUAGCGAAAGCAACACUCCCAAAAGUUAAUUAUACCCUUUGUGCACUGUUAAUAUUGUCGAAAGAAUAGUCUUUUUAAGAUGAUUUCUAUCGGCAAUUAUUUUAAACCCCUUUUUAUUUUGACUGAGUUUUAGAGAAAAAUUGAAA
rnacentral:misc_RNA from 1 species